rnacentral:rRNA from 1 species
AAAGGAAUAGACGGGGGCCCGCACAAGCAGUGGAGUAUGUGGUUUAAUUCGACGCAACGCGAAGAACCUUACCAGGGCUUGACAUCCUCGGCUCGCGGUAGAGAUACCGUUUUUCAUGGAGCAAUCCAUGGACCGAGAGACAGGUGGUGCAUGGUUGUCGUCAGCUCGUGUCGUGAGAUGUUGGGUUAAGUCCCGCAACGAGCGCAACCCCUGUCGUCAGUUGCCAUCAUUAAGUUGGGCACUCUGACGAGACCGCCGUUGACAAAACGGAGGAAGGUGGGGAUGAGGUCAAAUCAUCAUGCCCCUUAUGUCCUGGGCUACACACGUACUACAAUGGCAGUCACAGCGGGCAGCGACACCGCGAGGUGGAGCGAAUCCCAAAAGGCUGUCUCAGUUCAGAUUGCAGGCUGCAACUCGCCUGCAUGAAGCAGGAAUUGCUAGUAAUGGCAGGUCAGCAUACUGCCGUGAAUACGUUCCCGGGCCUUGUACACACCGCCCGU